UUGAAAUAAAAUUCUGAAACUCCUCCAUUACGGUCACUGGGGAAUAGUUCACAUGAAGCAACUAACUCGUCAAAACGUCUGGUGGCCAGGUAUCGACGAAGAUAUUGCACAACUAACCAAGAGCUGCAGCGUUUGCAAGAUAGUUCCCGUUUAUAACACAGAUGUCAUCGACUACAACUGCAAAUACAAUAUCUGCACUUACAGCCAUAUUUGCGAUCGAGGGUUACCCAAAAACGUUAGUUAGCGAUAACGGACCGCAACUUACCGCAGAACCAUUUAAGGAUUUUUGCCUUUUGCACGGAAUUAAUCACCUAACAACAGCCCCAUUCCACCCAGCAUCUAAUGGAUUGCAGAUCGUUUUGUGCAAACUUUUAAAACCUCAGUUACUAAAAACAUAAGGGAAGGUAACAUCCAUAGGUUUCAUCAAGCGCCACAUUAACCAGAUCAAACCGAGAUCCGAUUCAGAAGAAAUUGAAGACAAAAGUAUGUUUUGGUGAAUGUUCGAAAAUCCAAGUCCGCAAAAGAUAGUCGCAAACUCUAGACAUGAAGAAAACCAUCGGUUUUUUCAUCACAGCCUCUUCAGUCCUUCAAAAGCCACAGAAGCGCCGAUCGGGUAUUCCCAUUCGAAGCAGUACCCGAUCUCGCCAAGUAGUCAACAGAUUCCGGCCCACAGAUAUCAGAAGGCGUAAAACUACUAACAAAAUGAAAUUUUAGCGGAGAGAUGUGAUAUGUAUUGCAAUUUCUAAAAAAUAUUGCAUCAUCCAUUCCUACAAGAGUUCCCUGAAAAUAGCCUUUCUGGCGCAACCUAUAUUUACCAUUGCAUCAUCUAUUUACCUGUACACACAAAUACUAAUAUAACUGAGACAUGUAUAAAAGGAGCCGAACAUAGCCAAACACAAUAACACAAUAUAUUAUUUAUUAAUACGUAUCCACAUAUUGAAGUUUAUGCUCAGUUCAUCUUGAAGUUAUUAAAUCUUGAAGAGUCUUAACAGUC